rnacentral:rRNA from 1 species
GACGAACGCUGGCGGCGUGCCUAAUACAUGCAAGUCGAACGAAGCUGUUUUAACUGGUGCUUGCACCGACUUAAACAACUGAGUGGCGAACGGGUGAGUAACACGUGGGUAACCUGCCCCAAAGCGGGGGAUAACAUUUGGAAACAGAUGCUAAUACCGCAUAACCACAGAAACCACAUGGUUUCUGUGUCAAAGAUGGUUUCGGCUAUCACUUUGGGAUGGACCCGCGGCGUAUUAGCUAGUUGGUAAGGUAUUGGCUUACCAAGGCAAUGUUACGUAGCCGAACUGAGAGGUUGAUCGGCCACAUUGGGACUGAGACACGGCCCAAACUCCUACGGGAGGCAGCAGUAGGGAAUCUUCCACAAUGGACGAAAGUCUGAUGGAGCAACGCCGCGUGAGUGAAGAAGGUUUUCGGAUCGUAAAACUCUGUUGUCAGAGGAGAACGUGUGCGAGAGUAACUGUUCGUGCAGUGACGGUAUCUGGCCAGAAAGCCACGGCUAACUACGUGCCAGCCGCCGCCGUAA